rnacentral:rRNA from 1 species
UGCAGUCGAACGAGUGCCUUCGGGUGCUAGUGGCGCACGGGUGCGUAACGCGUGGGAAUCUGCCCUUUGGUUCGGAAUAACAGUUGGAAACGACUGCUAAUACCGGAUGAUGACGAAAGUCCAAAGAUUUAUCGCCAGAGGAUGAGCCCGCGUAGGAUUAGCUAGUUGGUGUGGUAAAGGCGCACCAAGGCGACGAUCCUUAGCUGGUCUGAGAGGAUGAUCAGCCACACUGGGACUGAGACACGGCCCAGACUCCUACGGGAGGCAGCAGUGGGGAAUAUUGGACAAUGGGCGAAAGCCUGAUCCAGCAAUGCCGCGUGAGUGAUGAAGGCCUUAGGGUUGUAAAGCUCUUUUACCCGGGAUGAUAAUGACAGUACCGGGAGAAUAAGCUCCGGCUAACUCCGUGCCAGCAGCCGCGGUAAUACGGAGGGAGCUAGCGUUGUUCGGAAUUACUGGGCGUAAAGCGCACGUAGGCGGCUUUGUAAGCUAGAGGUGAAAGCCUGGAGCUCAACUCCAGAACUGCCUUUAAGACUGCAUCGCUUGAAUCCAGGAGAGGUGAGUGGAAUUCCGAGUGUAGAGGUGAAAUUCGUAGAUAUUCGGAAGAACACCAGUGGCGAAGGCGGCUCACUG